CACCUUGGAGAACUGAUGU
rnacentral:snRNA from 1 species